UACGGAGGGUGCAAGCGUUGUCCGGAAUCACUGGGCGUAAAGGGCGCGUAGGCGGCUCAUGAAGGCUGUGGUGAAAAUCAGGGCUCAACCCUGGACCUGCAUUCGAUACGGGCAGACUAGAGUUCGGCAGGGGAGACUGGAAUUCCUGGUGUAGCGGUGAAAUGCGCAGAUAUCAGGAGGAACACCGGUGGCGAAGGCGGGUCUCUGGGCCGAUACUGACGCUGAGGAGCGAAAGCGUGGGGAGCAAACAGG
rnacentral:rRNA from 1 species